rnacentral:rRNA from 1 species
AUGCAAGUCGAACGGAGAUAGACACUAGACACUGGACACUAGACACUAGCAGAACGGCAAGAGGGGAGGGAAACCUUUCGGAAACGCUGUACGGCUAGUAGCUAGCGACUAGCGUCUAGUGACUAUCUUAGUGGCGGACGGGUGAGUAACACGUGAGCAACCUACCUUCAGGCGGGGAAUAACACAGGGAAACCUGUGCUAAUACCGCAUAACACAACGAGGAGACAUCUCUUUGUUGUCAAAGAUUUAUCACCUGAAGAUGGGCUCGCGCCCGAUUAGAUAGUUGGUGAGGUAAUGGCUCACCAAGUCAGCGAUCGGUAGCCGGACUGAGAGGUCGAACGGCCACAUUGGGACUGAGACACGGCCCAGACUCCUACGGGAGGCAGCAGUGAGGGAUAUUGCACAAUGGGCGAAAGCCUGAUGCAGCGACGCCGCGUGAGGGAAGACGGUCCUAUGGAUUGUAAACCUCUGUCUUCGGGGACGAAAAUGACGGUACCCGAGGAGGAAGCUCCGGCUAACUACGUGCCAGCAGCCCGCGGUAAUACGUAGGGAGCGAGCGUUGUCCGGAAUUACUGGGUGUAAAGGGAGCGUAGGCGGGAAGAUUAGUCCGUUGUGAAAUCUAUCGGCUCAACCGGUAGCUGCGGCGGAAACUGUCUUUCUUGAGUGAAGUAGAGGCAAGCGGAAUUCCUAGUG